UACCAGCACCCCGAGUGGUCGGGACGUUUAUUGGGCCUAAAGCAUCCGUAGCCGGUUCUACAAGUCUUCCGUUAAAUCCAGCUGCUUAACAGAUGGGCUGCGGAAGAUACUAUGGAGCUAGGAGGCGGGAGAGGCAAGCGGUACUCGAUGGGUAGGGGUAAAAUCCGUUGAUCCAUUGAAGACCACCAGUGGCGAAGGCGGUUUGCCAGAACGCGCUCGACGGUGAGGGAUGAAAGCUGGGGGAGCAAACCGG
rnacentral:rRNA from 1 species